rnacentral:tRNA from 1 species
GGCCCGUUCGUCUAGUGGUUAGGACUCCAGGUUUUCGACCUGGCAACAGGAGUUCGAUUCUCCUACGGGCUA